GGGUGAACGGCUGUAGCACAUCUUUGCGUUAAAAGAACAGGUGACAAACGCCCAGAAGGAGUUUCUGGGGGUCCACGGCAGCAGGGACGGGCCAUCCAUCAUGAAAGAAUGUCAGGAUGUGGUGCUGACCAAGGACAACUGGGGGCAAAAGUGACACGGGGACGUAGGACGCAGGUGUAGAGAAGCCGCGGGAAGGACGUCCACGGAGAUUUCAGCCCAACUCCGGCCAGCUGGCUGGCUGGGCAGCCGGUGAUGUUCCUUUCCUCUUCCUCGGCUAAAAAGUACUUCUAAGUAUCCUGCUGAUGUCAAGGGAGAAAGACGAGGAGAAACUGCCCCUGAGCUUGAAGCAGAUUUGGUUUAGAGCUUAAGAUACCAUUCAGAAUUAGGACUCAGGGCUGAUAACAAGGAACUCCAGGUGGAGAAACCUGCACUUUUGUUUCCAGGUAAGCGUUUUCAUUGGAAUGACAAUGAGGCCUUCCAGGGGAGGAGAGAAGAAGGGGCGUCUUGCUGAUCCCAAGAUCCUAACCUGAAUAGCAAAUGCAGAGCACACCUCCCCCACCUGGACUAAAAAGUGAUGAAAAGAAGAAAGUCUUGAAAUGAAUGCCAAUUAACCUCCAUUAACAUCAUAAGUGGACAUUAAAAUAUUCCGAAGCCUUAGAUUGAAUUAACGAUUUCUCGCUGAA